rnacentral:ncRNA from 2 species
CCCGAUCACUCAUUGAGAGGUUUCAUUAAGUUGAAUUAAAAGGGAAUCCGCACGCUUUGAUACAAAAUCAGAAUGAAAGCUAAUGCCAUACAAAACGGCUGUGUAUUUAUUCUGCAUCAUGCUAAAAGUAUUAAAGCAAUUGGAGCUGUCCCCGCAACUGUAUGCAGCAAGUGCUGUUCUAUAAACCACUGGCACCCUUGGACGGGGCUGGGAAGGUGGAUGGCACGUUUGAGCUGUUAGCCAGUAGACCUGCCUUCGAUGAAUAAUUAGC